rnacentral:rRNA from 1 species
GAUGUCGGCUCAUCACAUCCUGGGGCUGAAGUAGGUCCCAAGGGUAUGGCUGUUCGCCAUUUAAAGUGGUACGCGAGCUGGGUUUAGAACGUCGUGAGACAGUUCGGUCCCUAUCUGCCGUGGGCGUUGGAUGAUUGAUUGGGGCUGCUCCUAGUACGAGAGGACCGGAGUGGACGCAUCACUGGUGUUCCAGUUGUCUCGCCAGAGGCAUUGCUGGGUAGCUAAAUGCGGAAGAGAUAAGUGCUGAAAGCAUCUAAGCACGAAACUUGCCAAGAGAUGAGUCAUCCCUGACUUUAAGUCAGUAAGGGUUGUUGUAGACUACGACGUAGAUAGGUCUGGUGUGUAAGUGUAGUGAUACAUUGAGCUAACAGAUACUAAUUGCCCGAGAGGCUUAACUAUACAACGCUCAAG